GUUGCUUUCAUAGAUAUGGUUUGUGGACAAUUAAAGCAAAAUACAAAGAGGACUUCACAGCAACAGGAACUGCAUAUUUUGAGAUUAAAAGCCAUGGUGGAUUCUUCAAAGAAACCAAAGUAACUGAUGUCAAAUAUGUCCUCUUUCCCUACAAACUGAAUUUGGUUGCUACACCUCUUUUCCUGAAGCCCAAGAUUCCAUAUUCCAUCAAGGCGCAAGUGAAGGAUGUCUUUGACCGUUUUGUAGGAGGGAUUGCAGUAACCCUGAAAGCAAAAACAGUUAACAAAACUCAGGAGAAAACAGAUGUGGAUCUAAGGAAAAGUACAACAGAUUAUCAUAAUGGAGUAGCUUCAUUUGUGGUUAACAUUCCUACUGAU